GACGAACGCUGGCGGCGUGCUUAACACAUGCAAGUCGAACGGAAAGGCCCUGCUUUUGUGGGGUGCUCGAGUGGCGAACGGGUGAGUAACACGUGAGUAACCUGCCCUUGACUUUGGGAUAACUUCAGGAAACUGGGGCUAAUACCGGAUAGGAGCUCCUGCUGCAUGGUGUGGGUUGGAAAGUUUCGGCGGUUGGGGAUGGACUCGCGGCUUAUCAGCUUGUUUGUGGGGUAGUGGCGUACCAAGGCUUUGACGGGUAGCCGGCCUGAGAGGGUGACCGGCCACAUUGGGACUGCGAUACGGACCAGACUCCUACGGGAGGCAGCAGUGGGGAAUAUUGCACAAUGGGCGGAAGCCUGAUGCAGCAACGCCGCGUGCGGGAUGACGGCCUUCGGGUUGUAAACCGAUUUCGCCUGUGACGAAGCGUGAGUGACGGUAAUGGGUAAAGAAGCAACGGCUAACUACGUG
rnacentral:rRNA from 1 species